CCUACGGGGUGCAGCAGUCGAGAAUCAUUCACAAUGGGGGAAACCCUGAUGGUGCGACGCCGCGUGGGGGAAUGAAGUUCUUCGGAUUGUAAACCCCUGUCAUGUGGGAGCAAAUUAAAAAGAUAGUACCACAAGAGGAAGAGACGGCUAACUCUGUUCAAGCAGCCGCGGUACUACAGAGGUCUCAAGCGUUGUUCGGAAUCACUGGGCGUAAAGCGUGCGUAGGCUGUGUCGGAAAACGUGUGUGAAAGGCGCGGGCUCAACCCGCGGACGGCACAUGUUACUGGGAGACUAGAGUAAUGGGGGGGGAACCGGAAUUCUCGGUGUAGCAGUGAAAUGCGUAGAUAUCGAGAGGAACACUCGUGGCGAAGGCGGGUUCCUGGACAUUAACUGACGCUGAGGCACGAAGGCCAGGGGAGCGAAAGGGAUUAGAUACCCCUUGUAGUC
rnacentral:rRNA from 1 species